CUCUGGCCUUUGGCAGGGCAGGCUGGGUGCUGGCACAGAGACACACGGGCACAGGAGGUGUCAGCCACGCAGGUGCUUCCCAGAGGCGGAUGCGAGCCCCCACGGCCGCUGCCAGAGGCCUGGACCCACAUGAGGUCAGGGACUGGGAUGUGUGACCCCCUCCCUGCCCCAUCCAUGCACCUCAGUGGCUGCGGCACUGAUGCAGAAAAUGAGGAAGGGAUGGGGGUGGGGCGGGGGGGGUACGACCUCCCCCAGAAGGCCAGCUUCACCUGCUUGGGCCAUCGGUGGCCACGCUCUGAUGGACACUUCGUGCCUGCACAGCCGGGCCCACGCUGGAGCUGCCGGGAGAUGGAACGCGGCAGGUCAACAGUGUCCAAGCAAGGACGGUCCCAGGAUCAUCCACAGAAGGAAACUGGCAGCAGGCCCUCCACACAUGACCAAGGAAUCUGCAGUCCGCUAAGCGGGGAGGGCGCUGCCCACGUCAACCUACACAGCAAAGCACCCCUAGAGGAGCCAGCCUCAAAGGAAGCGCAGAGGAGGGAACGCGCCUGCACGAAGUCUCCUGGGAGAUCCUUCCCGAGGCGAAGACUAAGGCCAGAGCAGGGCCUUGCCACGCCCAGGGGCACUCAGCGGGAGGAAACCUGGAGGUGCCAGGAAUCCUGGCUCACAAGGAAGAAUCCAGAAAGGCAGGCUUGGUGCUGGUGAUGGCUGAACUGUGUCCCUCCACCCGACCUGCAUCUGAAGCCCUAACCCCAGGACCUCAGAAUGUGACUGCUUUUGGAGAUGGGGUCUUUAAAGGGAUCAUUAAUGCCUGGGCGUGGUGGCUCAUGCCUGUAAUUCCAGCACUUCAGGAGGCCGAGGCAGGUGGAUCACCUGAGGUCAGGAGUUCGAGACCAGCCUGGGCAACAUGGUGAAACCCCGUCUCUACUAAAAAUACAAAAAUUAGCUGGGUGUAGUAGCAGGUACCUGUAAUCCCAGCUACUCGAGAGGCUGAGGCAGGAGAAUCACUUGAACCCGGGAGGUAGAGGUUGCAGUGAGCAGAGGCCGCGCCACUGCACUCCAGCUUGGGUGACAGAGGGAGACUCCAUCUCAAAAAAUAAAGGGUCAUUAUAAAGGACAGUGAGGUCACGAGGGUGGGCCCUCAUCCGAUAUGACUUAUGUCCUUGUAAGAAAAGGCGAUCAGGACACAAACACGUACAGAGGAAAGACGCAGGGAGAAGAUGGCCACGGGCAAGCCAAGGACAGAGGCCUCAGCAGGAACCAACCCUGCUGACCCCCAAUCUUGGCCUUCCAGCCCACAGAACUGUGAGAACAUCAGCUUCUGUUGAAGCUGUCCAGGUGAUGGUACUUUGUCGCUGUGGGUGAGGUGAGGCCCAAUGGAGAGGCUGUGGGCAGCCUCCAGGGGCCAGGGCCAGGGUUUGAUGCCCCUGAAUGCAGCGAUCCACGGGGCCUUCUCCUGCCUCUGAGCCCCUCCCUCACCCCAGCCUUAGCCUCAUCCGGGGUUGCUGUUUCCCAUGGCCCCGUCCAGGCCGCAACU
rnacentral:lncRNA from 1 species